rnacentral:rRNA from 1 species
CCCUUAGAUGUUCUGGGCCGCACGCGCGCUACACUGAUGCAUUCAACGAGUCUAAAACCUGCUCUGAUAGGGGUGGGUAAUCUUUUGAAUGUGCAUCGUGAUUGGGAUAGAGGAUUGCAAUUUUUCAUCUUCAACGAGGAAUGCCUAGUAAACGCAAGUCAUCAGCUUGCAUUGAUUACGUCCCUGCCCUUUGUACACACCGCCCGUCGCUCCUACCGAUUGAAUGAUCCGAUGAAUAUCAUGGAUUGAGGAUUAUAGCAGGUUCGCCUGUCUUGAUCUUCGAGAAGUGAAGUAAAUCUUAUCAUUUAGAGGAAGGAGAAGUCGUAACA